UCCACGCAGUAAACGAUGAAUGUUAGUCGUCGGGUAGCUAGUCUAUUCGGUGAUGCAGCUAACGCAUUAAACAUUCCGCCUGGGGAGUACGGUCGCAAGAUUAAAACUCAAAGGAAUAGACGGGGACCCGCACAAGUGGUGGAGCAUGUGGUUUAAUUCGAAGAUACGCGAAGAACCUUACCUAGCCUUGACAUAUAUUAGAAUCCACCAGAGAUGGAGGAGUGCCUUCGGGA
rnacentral:rRNA from 1 species